CUCAUCCUCAGAGAGAGGCCUGGGCCAGAGCAUCUUUCCCCGCUGAAAGUAAAACCUCUUGCACUCUACUCUCUCCUCUUCUCCGCUAAAAAUCUUGAUAUCCAUUUAGAAUCCCUAAUCACACAUUCUUCCGGGGGAUGGCAGGUGGCUCCCACCCCAAAUCCUCAACUCAAAAACCCUCCUCCUCCUCCACCCCUGCCCCCCACCGCAAACCCCGUUGGGAAUCCACCGCCACCAACAACAACAAUCCACAACCACCGCAAUCCAACCAGAAACUCCAUAAACCAAACCCUUCCCCAAAGCCCAACACUGGCCCAUCCCCCAAGCCCGUUACUUCUACUGCAGGCCCAAUCCAACCUCCACAAGUCCCUCCGUUCCCAUUCCCAGACCUUGGCCCUCCUCCACCACCUACAUACGGCUUUCACAUGCUUGAACGCCGCACUAUUGUGCUCGCCGACGGCAGCGUCCGCUCUUACUUAGCUCUCCCACCAGAUUACCAAGACUUCCCUCGUCCUCCUCUUCCGCCGCGGUUCCUUCACCGGGGGGGCCACCUCGACUUUCUCCCCACUGGGCCCCGCUUCCCUCCAUCGAACCAUGAUGCGUUAGGCUUUCAAAACCAGAAUCAAAAUCAAAAUAAGAGGAAAUUUGAUGAGGAAUCAGUGAAGCAAGGGAAUAGUAGUAGUAGUUAUAAUAACAAUUCAAAUGGGAAAAAUUACACUUUGGGGCCGGAUAAUCGAGGUUCCGGAACGAGUAGUGUGGCGGGUGAAAUGAGAGCAGGAAAGAAAAUGAGGAUUGGUAGUGGUGAUGAUGUAGGGUUGGCUAAUAGAAAUAAUAACAGGAAUUUUGGUGAAGUGAACCAGAGUGAAUUAAAGAAAGCGUUUUUUCAUUUUGUGAAGGUGAUUAAUGAGAAUGAGACUGACAGAAAGAAGUAUUUGGAGGAUGGCAAGCAAGGGCGGCUUCGGUGUAUGGCUUGUGGCAGGUCUUCCAAAGACUUCCCAGACAUGCAUGCGCUUAUAAUGCACACAUAUAGCUCAGAUAAUGCUGAUGUGCGUGUGGAUCACUUGGGCUUACAUAAAGCUCUCUGUAUUCUAAUGAGAUGGAAUUAUUCGAUGCCUCCUGAUAACUCAAAGGCCUAUCAGUUCUUACCUGCUGAUGAAGCAGGGGCAAACCAGGAUGAUUUGAUUAUGUGGCCACCAAUGGUGAUAAUUCAUAACACAAUUACAGGGAAGAGUAAAGACGGGCGCAUGGAAGGUUUGGGAAACCGAGCAAUGGAUAGCAAAAUGAGAGAUCUUGGAUUUGUGGGUGGCAAGUCAAAGUCCUUGUAUGGAAGAGAUGGCCAUCUAGGCAUUACUCUUGUAAAGUUUGGUGGUGAUCAAUCAGGACUGAAAGAGGCUACACGGAUGGCAGAAUACUUUGAGAAGGAUAAUCAUGGACGCGAGGCUUGGGGUUGCUUACAGCCUGUGACAUUGGGCAAGGAUGACGAGAAAAAUCCGAGCCUUGUGAAGGUGGAUCGGAGUGGGGAAAAAACCAGGAUUCUAUAUGGUUAUCUUGCAACAGCUGCAGAUCUCUACAAGGUUGAUUUUGAGACAAGGAAGAAGGUUGUGAUUGAGAGCCUGCGGGAAUACGAAGCAUCCAAGUAGAUUUGUCAUGACAAAAAAAGGUGCAACAACGUAAUUUAAUGUGCUGGUAUUUGACCUGCAAACCUCUGAACUAGUUGAGGAAAGCUUCAUGUGGGCAUUUUUUCCUUUUUCUAGACUUCAUCUUGUGGUACGCAGGAACUUUACAGGUUCAAGCUGUUAUUCGUCCAGUAAUUGUUAGACAUUAGUGGACAUCACACGUGGAAAAGCAGAGUUUGCCAGCAUUGAUUAUGCAAGCUAUCGUAUACCUGUGCUAGCUAGACAUAUGAUUAGAUGCAUGGGAAAAGGGAGAUUUCUCUCGUAGGAAAAGUCUCCAUGUGAGUGGCUUGUGAAGUCGGGAUGCCAGAUGAAGAUGUUUUCUUUGGAAUUGAAUAGGCAACAACUCGCGUGGUGGUUGGACGCUUUAGCUGGCUUCUUUGGAAUUUAAGCAAAUCGCCCAUUCCAAAGUCACGGGUAAUUUGAAGAUUUUCUCGUGUUUCGUUCUGCAUGCUCCUCCUUUUUUUCACUGGCGAGUGUAAUGUUAAUGGCUGGAUGAAUGAUUGGUGAUUGGGUCGCUCUCAGACAGGAUAUAAACUGUGAUCCUAUGCCCUUUCAAAGAUUCAAGAGAAUAGACAUCUGGUAACCCACGCUUUUUAGAAAUUGUACAAGGUGGUGAUGUUUUGAUCGUGGCCAAUUAUUUCCCGGUGUCCUUGAAGAGGACAAUCGUUAUCUUAUCACUACUUAUCGUGUCUGCAAUUAUCGUCCUUGCUGCUUUCCGAGCUUGAAAAAUACCCCCUCGUGACAUCAUCUGCUUUUUUUUUGUUAUUGUCUUUCCUGUCCUCCCCGCCUUGUACUAUUACUAUUGAAAUACAUGAAUGUUUCCGCCCCUUCUAGUCUGCA